ACUGCAGGCCCGUAUUUCUCCAGCAGCUUCAGAGCUGUUUGAGGCGUGGUUGAUCGUUUGGUGCCUGGCGUUAGUGACAGCCAAGUUCUCCCUCACGGGUCUGGGAGUGUUUAGGUGUCUCAGGAGGUAUUAUUUGAAUGUAUUACGCAGUUGAGGAAGGUUGCAUUGGAAAGCUGGUUAUUAUAGUUCUAGGAAGCAAAUAAAGACCCAGGAAAUUAGCUACCACUCUGGACUACUUGUGGUGUCACAAAACAGGAUGGAGCCCUUUGAGAUGAUAGAAAAAUGUCCUCUCUGACUACAGAAAAGCACUCUCAAAUUUCCAUACCACUACUUGAAAUGUGGUGAUGCUUUUAAAGCAGACAUUUUCCAUGGCCUUAACUGCUCACAGGUCUAUCCUAAACCCGAAGUAGCCACUGUGCAUACCUAGCAAGUACUGUUCAUAAACAUUUUUAUAAUGUUUGACCUUAAGAGUGACCUGAAGAUUAAUGGAUAUGUUGUAUCAGUUUUAAUGGGUCUCUUCUCCCUUGGAUGCACACAUGUGACUCCCAUUAGCCUUAAUGGGGGUUAUAUGUGUGCCUAGAGGUUAGACAAGAUCUCUAAAGGUGCUGUUAUGCUCUGUUGUAUUAACGAUUUCAUAAUUGCUGAGGUGCUGCACCUUUGCAUUGAAAGCAAACUAAUUAAAUUGGUCUAGGAUAAAUUGGCAUGCUAACAUACCUGGCACGUAUAUGUGUUUUCCUGUGAGUCCCUCAGUACACAGAGGCAGAGGCCAAAUCAAGUGUGGAAUUUAAAUUUUAACUGUCAGUUAUCUUCCUUUUUAGUUUGUCCUUUUUUAAUUCCAGAACAAUUUCAUGAAUUUGAUUCCUGAGAAAGAUGAUUGUCCAUGCCAAUACAGAAGAAGAAGCUGAAAGUGGUGUUACUGAAACACUUCAAGUGGAAAACAGACUGAUGAUACCAUCUCAAUAGCAAUUCGUUUGAACUUGCCCCAAGUGGAAAAGAGAUUGGUGAUAUCAUCUCAAUAGCAAUUUGUUUGAACUUGCCCCCAGAGCUCUUGAGGAUUUUAGGAUCUUGUCAAUCAUUAGGUAGUAUUCUGUAAAGUUGUGUAUGCCAAGUAUAUUAAAAAUCACUGAUUAUACCCAUGAAAAAUUCUGCUGCAUUGCAUAUGCCCAAAUAAUUGUAAGUCUGCUAAUAAAUCACUCUAGAUUUAUGAUUCCUAUAUGAAAUGACUAAAGAAAAAAAAUAUUACAUUGGAAGCCUAACAUUGCUUUUGGUAACCUGUACUUUUAUUAACUGUGCUUUCACACUUCCAAGAAUGGAAGAAAAUGGGUGGUUAAAUUUAUUAGUGGUCUGCCAAGAGAUUGAUUUGAUGUUCUUUCUCUAACAUGCAUUGAACCCAGGUACAAAAAAUUAAUGUGUUAAUGCAAAAAUUGCAGAUGUCAGUGUGUGUAUGGGAAUGUGCUAAAAAGGGCCAGAGCUUGUCUUGACUUACUGUUUUGGUUAUUGUUCUGGGUUGGUCUUUUGUUUGUUUGUGGGGUUUCUUUCAAUAAUCAAAUUUAAAUUUCAACUGUCCAUGUUAUUUUUAUUCAGCUUUGCAGUGGGACAAGAAACAGAGUCCAACUGCAUUCUUUUAUGAGUGAAUACUUUGUCCCAUUCACUUCACUUUUUGGCUAAUAUCACAGAAAAAUGCUGUAGGAAUUCAGCUGCUUUUUAGCUCAAUUUUCAUAAGCCACAGUUACUCGUAGCUAGGAUAAAAGGACUAAUCUGGUUCUGAAUGAGAGUAUGUGGUGGAUAAAGAGGACUAUUUUGGGGGGGUUGUAGGGCACAUAAUUAUUUCAUCACCCUGGUACAAAAUUCUCAAAUUAUGGCUUAUUUCAGAUUACUGGAGAUUAUUGCCAAAUAUUUCUUUCUUUGGCAUGUAGUGAAAGCUAAAUUUCAUUUGACUGUUCAUGUACUUAUAUAUGCAGAAUCAUCUAUGUUAUGCAGAUGCCUAAAAGCACAAGGAGAACUGGAUUUGAGAGGAAACCUGUGUUGUAUUCCUAUAUCACCAUCAAUUUAGAUCACAUUGGUAUCACAUUAGAAUAAUGUUUUACAGCCUCUGCCAAUUUAGAAAUCAAAUUGAUGCUAGAUUUGUAUAGAACAACACAUUUGACUGACAGAAAAGGCUGUUGUAGAUGGAUGUGAUGUUCUAUCCUUGUAUAACAAGAGUUUUGACUGACAGUUUAACAAUAGUACAAUUUCUAUCCCAUAUAUUCUAAAUUAUUAUAGUGCAAAACAUUUUUGCACUUGCUGUAUAUAGGUAACACGUGCACUUUUUGUGUAAUAACAUUAAAAAAGAGAGGAUUUCUUUUAUAUCUUAAAGAUAACGACAAUUAAUGAAGGCUCUGUAUGACACUUAUAAGCAGUGUCAAGGACUGCUAUUGUGGUGCAUGGUAAUGUAAAAACUAUUGGAAUGCUUAGCUCCCAGUGAAGGAUCAGCAUAACUCUUGACACAUCUUGUAUGGUGGAUGAAAUAAAUCUUGGAGAGCAAUAGAAAUAUUUCUUAAACUGAAGAGUACCCUUUUUGUUUUAUAAUCCCUCUUUUCAGCUCUGCAGUUCUUCGUAUCACUCCAAAAUACAGUUUUAAUCUGAAAAGUAACUGUUUAAAAUGGUACCUAUUAAUGCAACAGCUUUGCUUUCUAUGCUUUGCAGUCAGUAUUUUUCUGUUCUGAGACCUAAGAUUCUUCUUCAGAACCAUAGCUAGAUAAGGAAGGUACACAGUUCUUAUUUGGGUAUCUCUCAUUUUCUUUAGGGAAGAUGAUCAUUUGGUAAGUAUCCUUCUCAUUUUAUGAUUUCUACUUCAAAUUCUUGGCAUCCUUUGUCCCUUUAGGUCUUUGCAGCACUAUUUACACUAACUACACUAAUUCUCAAAGAACAGGACCCCCUACUUUGUGUAGGUUUUCACAAGAGCUGGGACACUAUAGUAUGUCUACAUAAUAUUUGAUGUUAGUUCAAAAAUAAACAUUAAAAUCUAAACUUCUCUGUAAGCUUCAGUUUCAUGUUGCAUGCGACUGAGACAGAAGGUAUGUUCUUUCAUGAUCUUCCCAAUGAAAAAUAAUAUAAAAAUAUUGAAUAAAAAAGUUGGACCACAUUUAGCAAAACAGGUCUCUCUUUGAUUAUCUAGACUGGAAAAACAUGCCAAAUACAAUGAUUACUUUAACAUUUUUUUUUUAAUUGGCUUAUUGUGAAGGAUAUGUUUCUUAAAUGGCUUUGUAUUUCCUAAGGGAAUUAAAUAGAUUAUUCUUUUCACUUCAUUAUGUAUGAUCAGAGAGAUCUUGGUAUCUCAGGUUUACUCAGUAAGAUUUUAUUUUUCUUUUGGUGGAUAAAUUCAGUAUAUGUUUUAUCCAACAGCAGGAAUAUUUAUUGGCUUGCAACAGUGGUGGUGAUAUUUCCUGCAAAGCA